UGGCAGGCCCCGAACCGGCACGCCCCCGUGAGCCCGCCCUCGAAAUCACUCUUAAAGGGUCCGCUCCUGGCUCGCGACUCCCCAGUGCCCUAGCCCAGAAAAGCGGAUUGGAGCCCGGGAAGCUCAUUGCGAUUCCAAAGGUCACGCUGAUGCAAGAGAUGGGUUCCCAUGAUCUUGGGCAGCUCCACUCCUGUGGCUUUGCAGGGUACAGGCUUCCUCCUGGCUGCUUUCACGGGCUGGUGGCCCUGGUGUGUGAUGUUCCCCAUCCUGUGUCCAAGUGUCGAACUCCUGACCUCUUGAUCUGCCCUCCUCAGCCUCCCAAAGUGCUGGGAUUACAGGCGUGAGCCACUGCACCCGGCCAAAAAGAGGUUUAAUUGGAUUUACAGUUCCACGUGGCUGCGGAGGCCUCAGAGUCAUGGCAGGAGGCGAAAGGCACUUCCUACAUGGUGGCGGCAGGAGAAAAUGAGGAAGAAGCAAAAGCAGAAACCCCUGAUAAACCCAUCAGAUCUCAUGAAACUUAUUCACUCUCAUGAGAAUAACACGGGAAAGACCAGCCCCCAUGAUUCGAUGACCUCCCCCAGGGUCCCUCCCACAACACAUGGGAAUUCUGGGAGAUACAAUUCAAGUUGAGAUUUCAGUGGGGACACAGCCAAACCACAUUAAUAUAUAUUUAAGAUAUAUGUAAAAUUUGAUGAUAGGUUGCAUGUGGGGAAUCAGAGAGAGACAGAGAGAGAGGAAGGAAGAAAAGGAGUUAAGAAUAACUCCACCUCCCUCUCCCGUCUCCCGUCUCCCUCUCCCGUCUCCCUCUCCCGUCUCCUGUCGCCCGUCUCCCGUCUCCCUCUCCCGUCUCCCUCUCCGUCUCCUUUCCACGGUCUCCCUCUCAUGCCGGGCCAAAGCUGGACUGUACUGCUGCCAUCUCGGCUCGCUGCAGCCUCCCUGCCUGAUUCUCCUGCCCCAGCCUGCCGAGUGCCUGCAAUUGCAGGCGCGCACCGCCACGCCUGACUGGUUUUCAUGUUUUUUUGGUGGGGACGGGGUUUCGCUGUGUUGGCCGGACUGGUCUCCAGCUCCUAGCCGCGAGUGAUCCGCCAGCCUCAGCCUCCCGAGGUGCCGGGAUUGCAGACGGAGUCUUGUUAACUCAGUGCUCAAUGGUGCCCAGGCUGGAGUGCAGUGGCGUGAUCUCGGCUCGCUACGGCCUCCACCUCCCAGCCGCCUGCCUUGGCCCCCACAAAGUGCGGAGAUUGCAGCCUCUGCCCGGCCACCACCCCGUCUGGGAAGUGAGGAGCGUCUCUGCCUGGCCGCCCAUCGUCUGGGAUGUGAGGAGCCCCUCUGCCUGGCUGCCCAGUCUGGAAAGUGAGGAGCGUCUCUGCCCAGCCGCCAUCCCACCUGGGAAGUGAGGAGCGUCUCUGCCCAGCCGCCCAUCGUCUGAGAUGUGGGGAGCGUCUCUGCCCCGCCGCCCCAUCUGGGAUGUAAGGAGCGCCUCGGCCAGGCCGCGACCCCGUCUGGGAGGUGAGGAGCGUCUCUGCCCGGCCGCCCCGUCUGAGAAGUGAGGAGACCUUCUGCCUGGCAACCGCCCCGUCUGAGAAGUGAGGAGCCCCACCGCCCGGCUGCCACCCCAUCUGGGAAAUGAGGAGCGUCUCCGCCCGCAAGCCACCCCGUCCGGGAGGGAGGUGGGGGUCAGCCCCCCGCCAGGCCAGCGCCCCGUCCGGGAGGGAGGUGGGGGGUCAGCCCCCUGCCGGGCCAGCCGCCCCGUCCAGGAGGGAGGUGGGGGGCUCAGCCCCCCACCCGGCCAGCCGCCCCAUCCGGGAGGUGAGGGGCGCCUCUGCCCGGCCGCCCCUACUGGGAAGUGAGGAGCCCCUCUGCCCGGCCAGCCGCCCUGUCCGGGAGGGAGGUGGGGGGGUCAGCCCCCCGCCCGGCCAGCCGCCCCGUCCGGGAGGGAGGUGGGGGGCUCAGCCCCCCACCCGGCCAGCCACCCCGUCCGGGAGGUGAGGGGCGCCUCUGCCCGGCCGCCCCUACUGGGAAGUGAGGAGCCCCUCUGCCCGGCCAGCCGCCCCGUCCGGGAGGGAGGUGGGGGGGUCAGCCCCCUGCCCAGCCAGCCGCCCCGGCCGGGAGGGAGGUGGGGGGCCCAGCCCCCCGCCCGGCCAGCCGCCCUGUCCGGGAGGGAGGUGGGGGGGUCAGCCGGCCAGCCGCCCCGUCUGGGAGGUGAGGGGCGCCUCUGCCCGGCCGCCCCUACUGGGAAGUGAGGAGCCCCUCUGCCCAGCCAGUCGCCCCGUCCGGGAGGGAGGUGGGGGGGUCAGCCCCCCGCCCGGCCAGCCGACUCGUCCGGGAGGUGAGGGGCACCUCUGCCCGGCCACCACCCCGUCUGGGAGAUGUGCCCAACAGUUCAUUGAGAACGGGCCAUGAUGACAGUGGCGGUUUUGUGGAAUAGAAAGAAGGGGGAAAGGUGGCGAAAAGAUCGAGAAAUCGGAUGGUUGCCGUGUCUGUGUGAAAAGGGGUAGACAUGGGAGACUUUUCAUUUUGUUCUGUACUAAGAAAAAUUCUUCUGCCUUGGGAUCAUGUUGAUCUGUGGCCUUGUCCCCAACCCUGUGCUCUCUGAAACAUGUGCUGUGUCCACUCAGGGUUGAAUGGAUUAAGGGUGGUGCAAGAUGUGCUUUGUUAAAACAGAUGCUUGAAGGCA